rnacentral:rRNA from 1 species
GAUGAACGCUGGCGGCGUGCCUAAUACAUGCAAGUCGAGCGAACAGACGAGGAGCUUGCUCCUCUGACGUUAGCGGCGGACGGGUGAGUAACACGUGGAUAACCUACCUAUAAGACUGAGAUAACUUCGGGAAACCGGAGCUAAUACCGGAUAAUAUAUUGAACCGCAUGGUUCAAUAGUGAAAGACGGUUUUGCUGUCACUUAUAGAUGGAUCCGCGCCGCAUUAGCUAGUUGGUAAGGUAACGGCUUACCAAGGCAACGAUGCGUAGCCGACCUGAGAGUGUGAUCGGCCACACUGGAACUGAGACACGGUCCAGACUCCUACGGGAGGCAGCAGUAGGGAAUCGUCCGCAAUGGGCGAAAGCUUGACGGAGCAACGCCGCGUGAGUGAUGAAGGUCUUCGGAUCGUAAAACUCUGUUAUUAGGGAAGAACAAAUGUGUAAGUAACUAUGCACGUCUUGACGGUACCUAAUCAGAAAGCCACGGCUAACUACGUG